GUAAAAUGUAAAUUUUUGUUUGGUUCAUUAUGUUUAACAUUGCCUUUAAUUCCUAAUUGGCAAUUGCUUGUGGCCUGCUAUACAUUUCCACAAUGUCGUCUCUCUUGCUGCAUAGUGCACGUUUCGUUCCAUGCAGAACAGUUAAAGAUUUUUUGGUUAGUUUGAUGUUGGAGCUACAAAUGGUUUUGAUGCAGCAUUCAUGGUGUGAGCUGUGGUUUUGCAGUCAUUUUCCAAUCGCGAUGACUUGAAAUGGAGCUUGUGCAGACGUUUAGUUCAACAUCAUACUUCAAUGUGUUAUUUGCCCAUGUUGGUGUUCUUGCAGUGUUGAGCUGUUGUGCAAAAUAGUCGAUGUUGCCUGGUGGCUGUCGGGUAAGUUUUAUCGGCUGUCUGUUGAUGUGUCGUCUCGUCUCUUGCCACCUGUACACACGUUAAGUUACUACACCGAGGCUCAAACUUACUGCAUCACCAAUGUGGGUGUAAACUACGCCGAAGCGCCUGAUUAAUACUUUGCCCCAAGAUAACAACCACAACUGAGGUGGCUGAGUACUUCGUAGCCCCGAAUUACUAAAUAGCUGCUUCUUCGUACUACGUUGCACUGAGAUUUCAGUGUACUACACGAAAACCAAUGCCUCACUUAACUACUAAACCGAAGUCCCUUAGUACUACAUCGAAAAGGUCGAAUAUUACAUAGCCACGUACGGAACUCUAGAUUACUAUACCGAGGAACCUAAUCGAUUAAAGGAGAGAGAAAGGGGAAAGGAGUCAGUCGUAGAUAAUCUCCAACACGGUGACAGUAAAUGCAGUGCACCAUUCGUCAUCAACUGCAAUCUUUGUUGUAUCACUAGUUCGCAAUCAUGGUUAACUAUGGUGUCAUGCUGCUUUUGGGUGUUGCAUCGAUGAUGGCUGGGUCAACCACGUGUGUACUCAUGUUUUCUGUGCAUGGUGGAUAUCAAGCGACAGCAGCGAAAGAAUACUACACCACGUCGCCGCCUUACUGCACAAAGUCAACAUACGCAACACUACUUACUUAACCAAGGAGCUCUUAAAUACGACACUACCAAGGCUUCAGAGUACAACACGAAAAUUAUACUGUUCAAGCUUCUACAUCGAAGUAGAGUCACAUCACGAAAGCGCCUGAGUACUACUCGGAGUCUUCCAAGUUCUACACCACCAAAGCUCCAAGCUUAAUAAACCACCGAGGCCACAGCUUAAUACACCACCGAAGCGGUUGAAUACUACACCGAAGCGUCCAAGUACUUCACUACAACCUACUGCUGCCCAUUAUUUGUCACCAACUGCCUUAUUCAUCGUAUUAAAUCAGUUUCUAAUCAUAGAUAUCGCUGAUGUUGAUGUGUGUUUUGUUGAUGGCUGGGUCGAUCACUGGUCAACUGAUGUCUCCUGGAAAUGGCUGCUACCAAACCACCACACCGCUGCCAUACUACACAACAACGAGGUCUCCAAGUACUACACCACUGUAGGACGGAAUAUUACAAGAUUAUGUAUGCUGCUCCUGCCUACUACACCAAAGCCCCUAAACUUCUGCUGGUUGUCUACUAAAAUAUCGUGUCGGUUUUGUUUUACAUCCGUGUUGUGUAUAAUUCAGACUAAAUGAUGGUAUUGUCUUUUGCAAUGUGGUGUGUUGCAGAUCAGCUUGGUGAAAGUUCUUUGAUGUGAAGUUAAAACUGCGGUCGUCUCAAGCGAUGUUUAAGAAUAUUAACUGUAUACUUGAAAC
rnacentral:lncRNA from 1 species